UACGAAGGGGGCUAGCGUUGUUCGGAAUUACUGGGCGUAAAGGGCGCGUAGGCGGCGUGUCAAGUCAGGCGUGAAAGCCCCGGGCUCAACCUGGGAACCGCGCUUGAGACUGGCACGCUCGAGUUCGGGAGAGGAUGGUGGAAUUCCCAGUGUAGAGGUGAAAUUCGUAGAUAUUGGGAAGAACACCGAUGGCGAAGGCAGCCAUCUGGACCGACACUGACGCUGAGGCGCGAAAGCCAGGGGAGCAAACGGG
rnacentral:rRNA from 1 species